rnacentral:lncRNA from 1 species
GCCUCGGCUUCCCUGAUUAUUCGAGUAUUUUCAUCCAGCUCUCUCUCUCUGGACUGCUUCCUGACCAAGCUGACAAUUGGCUCUUGAUCAUCACUCUCAUCACUGUCGUCAGCAAAUUGUUUAGCUUUGGCUUGAGCACUCAGACCUGAUGAAAUAUGAUAUAGCUUAGAUUACGGCAUACCUCUUCUAAGUUAUAUUAUAUUGUGAUUGGAUCCUAGCCUUAAUAUUACAUUUGGGUGUUUUAUUAAGGACUCUCUUAUAUCUAAACUAAUCUUGUCCUCUUUCCUUCAGAUGUCUUUCAACAAUGCUUCUGGCUCUAAUCCUAAUGGCUCCUUUACCCUUAUGAACUUGUGUGGGAAAGUCACCUUUGAUGGAUCCAACUUCAAUGAGUGGAUCAGAAACAUCAGGAUGAUUACCCGCUACGAGGACAAAGAAUAUGUCCUUGACAAGGAGCUUAAGGAGAUUGAUGAGUCCACUGCAACUCCUCAGGAGAUCGCUGAAUUUCGGGCACAUGAAAGGGAUGCUACGAAAGUGGCUUGCAUCAUGAUGGCCACGAUGACAGCGGAACUCCAAAAGUCUUAUGAGGAUUUCUACCCUUAUGACAUGCACCAAGAUUUGAUGGAAAGAUACCAUCAAAGUGCAAGACAAGAGAGGUAUGAAAUCAUCUGCUCCAUGAUAACAACCAUGAUGAAGGACGGGGAAUCCGUCACGAGCCACAUGCAGAAAAUGCAAAGGUAUGUGGAUCGUUUGCUGAAGCUUAAUGUGAACUUCCCGGAGGAUCUUGCAAUAGAUAUUAUUUUGCAUUCCUUACCAUCGUGCUAUGAUCAAUUCCGCAUGACAUAUCACAUGAACAAGGAAGAAGUCACCCUCAGCAAACUUCAGGGACUUCUCAAGACCGCAGAAACAGGUCUUAAGGGGAAGUCGGUUGCUAUCACUCCUACUCAAAACUCUACUCCGGUUUUGGCAAUCGGGAAAAGUCGAGGGAGGAAGAGAAAGAGCUCUUCUAAGGGUACCAAGGCUCGGACCCUUGAUGGCUCUUCUUCAAGUGGAACCAAGAAAGGUUUCGUUACUCCUUCUUCUGACCCAAAAGAGGCUGAAUGCUUCUAUUGCCAUGAAAAAGCUCAUUGGAAGCGGAACUGCCCAAAAUACCAGCAAGAUGUGAAGGAUGGGAAAGUUAAACCCAACCAUGCAGGUAUUUACACUAUCAUUUCUAAUAACUCACCCCAUUCUAAUUCUUGGGUCCUUGAUACCGGGUGUGGUAUUCACAUUUGUUGUGACUUGCAGGGACUAAGAAGAAGUGAGGAUGUGGAGCAAGGAAGGAUAAACUUGAUCAUGGGGAAUAGGAAAGCUAUACCUGUUACCAAGAUUGGAGUUUAUACUUUAUCGCUAAGUAGUGGGUUUAGUUUAGAUUUGAAUAAGUGUUGUUAUUCGCCAGGAAUGGCAAGAAAUAUUAUUUCCUUUCAUGCUUUGUACAAACAAGGGUUUACCUUUUCAUUUAAUAAUGAAGUUGGUUCUAUAGAUGUUUUCUAUAAUAAUGUCUUUUAUUUUAAAGCAUUACCUUGUGAUGGUGUGUAUGAAGCUGUAUCUGUUGUAGAUAACUUGGGAAAUAAUGUUUUGUGUAUUGAUUCUACUAAUAAUAACUUGGAUAAAGCAUCUUUAUGGCAUUGUCGUCUUGGACAUAUAAGCAAGAAACGCAUAGGCCAACUCCAAAAGGAUGGAGUCUUGGAGUCGUUUGACCUAAAGUCAGAUGAUAGUUGCGAAUCAUGCUUACUUGGAAAAAUGACAAAGUCACCCUUCACAGGUUCGUGUGAGAGGGGUGAAGGUUUGUUGGACCUUAUACACACGGAUGUGUGUGGACCAUUCAAACAUGCCACAAGGGAUGCUAAUCGUUAUUAUUUGACUUUUACUGAUGAUUAUAGUAGAUAUGGAUAUGUCUACUUGAUCAAGCAUAAGUCAGAGACUUUCGAGAGGUUUAAGGAAUUUAAACAGGAAGUCGAGAAUCAAUUGGGCAGGAACAUUAAGAUGCUUCGAUCCGAUCGUGGUGGUGAGUAUCUUAGUUCAGAGUUCCUCGACUAUCUAAGGGAAUGUGGGAUAGUCUCACAAUUGACACCUCCCAGGACACCACAGUUGAAUGGUGUGGCUGAGAGGCGUAAUCGAACCUUGUUAGAUAUGGUUCGUUCCAUGAUGAGUCGAGCUACGCUACCAAUCUCAUUCUGGGGGUAUGCCUUAGAGACUGCCGCCCAUAUUCUUAAUCUAGUCCCUACAAAGAAAGUUGCCAAAACUCCUCACGAGAUGUGGACUGGUAAAGUACCUAAACUAGACCACAUCAAGAUUUGGGGUUGCGAGGCUUUCGUGAGACGCGAGACUCAUGAUAAGCUCGAACCUCGAAGCGAGAGGUGUAUUUUCAUCGGUUACCCACAGCGAUCCUUUGGUUACCUCUUCUACAGACCUAGUGACAAUGUGGUCUUUGUAGCAAGAAGAGGAGUCUUUCGAGAAAGAGAGUUUAUAAGCCAAGGAGACAGUGGGAGGCAAAUUGAUCUUGAAGAAAUUCAAGAAUCAAGCGGUGAAGGAACUUCAAACUCUAGCCCUCAACUUGAGGAGGAAACUCCUGUUGAGCCAAUUGACAAAUCUGUACCUCUGAGACGUUCCACGAGAGUUAGGAGUGCACCUGAGCAUUACUAUGGAUUCCAUAUUACUGCAGAAGGUGAGACACUUAUUAGUGAUGAGACACUAGUAAGUCAAGAUGACCCUAACAGCUACGAGGAAGCCAUGGCAGGCCCCGAGUCUGCUAAAUGGAAAGAGGCUAUGGAUAGCGAGAUACAAUCCAUGUAUGACAAUCAAGUUUGGAACUUGGUUGAAAAUGUACCAGGUCGUAAGACAGUAGGGUGCAAAUGGGUCUUCAAGAAGAAGACCGACAUGGAUGGUAAAGUACACACUUAUAAGGCUAGACUGGUUGCAAAGGGCUUCUCUCAAAUUCCUGGAGUGGAUUAUGAUGAGACCUUUUCUCCGGUAGCCAAGAUUAAGUCUAUUCGGGUUCUGUUAGCCAUAGCUGCAUUUCAUGACUAUGAAAUAUGGCAGAUGGAUGUCAAAACCGCUUUCCUUAAUGGAAAGUUGGCUGAAGAUGUUUACAUGAGUCAGCCAGAGGGUUUUGUCAGCAACGAGUACCCUAAUAGAGUGUGUAAGCUUGAGAAAUCCAUUUAUGGAUUGAAGCAAGCACCUCGCAGAUGGAAUCUUUGCUUUGAUGAAAAGGUCAAGGAAUUUGGCUUUUCUAGGAGUGAAGAUGAAUCUUGUGUGUAUGUCAAGGCUAGUGGGAGUAUAGUUAGCUUUUUGGUAUUGUAUGUGGAUGACAUACUACUCAUAGGAAACGACAUUCCAACCCUGCAGGAAGUAAAGUCCUGGCUUGGGAAGUGUUUCGCUAUGAAGGACCUUGGUGAAGCUGCCUAUAUUCUAGGGAUAAGAAUCUUGAGAGAUCGGAGUAAAAGACUAAUUGGACUUAGUCAGAGUACCUACUUGGAUAAGGUGCUGAAGAGAUUCAGCAUGCAGGAUUCCAAGAAAGGAGAGUUACCCAUCCAGAGUAACACCAGAUUGAGUAAGACACAAAGCCCUAGCACUGAGGCUGAGAUAGCAGAAAUGAGUCGAACACCUUACGCUUCGGCUGUAGGAUCGAUCAUGUAUGCUAUGACGUGUACUCGACCCGAUGUAGCUUUUGCCUUGAGCAUGGUUAGCAGGUAUCAGGCGAACCCUGGCAAGGCACACUGGACUGCGGUAAAGAAUAUCCUCAAGUACCUACGGAGGACUAAGGACUGGGUCCUUACCCUCGGUGGGAGUGAUGACUUGAGAGUUGUAGGGUAUAGUGAUGCUAGCUUCCAGACUGAUAGGGAUAAUUUCCGCUCUCAGUCGGGCUGGGUCUUUACCCUAAACGGAGGAGCAAUUUCUUGGAAGAGUUCCAAGCAAGAGACAGUGGCAGAUUCUACUUGUGAAUCAGAGUAUAUUGCAGCUAGUGAAGCAGCAAAGGAGGCGAUAUGGCUGAAGAACUUCAUUGGAGACCUUGGAGUUGUACCAGCUAUUAAAGAGCCAAUGGAAAUUUUCUGUGAUAGUGAAAGUGCUGUUGCCUUAGCCAAGGAACCAAGGGAUCAUGGGAGAUCCAGACACAUCGACAGAAAAUACCAUUUCAUUAGACAUCGGAUCGAAGAAGGACUCCUCGUGGCAAAGAGGGUAUCAUCGGAUGAGAACCCAGCAGAUCCCCUCACGAAGGGACUGAGUAGGGUUAAGCAUCUCCAGCAUGCUCGGAGCAUAGGGCUGAAGGAUGAUAUAAGUUUUAGUAGUUAGAUAACCCAGAAAUUUGUAAAGUGUAAUUGACAUUUGAUGAUGAAUAAAAGGUGUUUUAUUUAUGAGUAAAGUGUUGCUAUCUCUUGUCGAUCGUUUACUAUAUUUCUUUUGCAUGUUUUGACUUCCAGAAUAAUUUUGUUUGGUAUAACAUAUUAUUCAAACCUCCACAGUCGGUCAUAUGUUGGAAGUAGAUAUGAAUCAAGACUGUCAUGUUUGGUUGUAGAGGUCUUGGACAAGGCUACAACAAUCAUGAGUGCUCAUAAGUUCUGAGCAUUGGACUCAACCCACGCUCACUGGAAUCACUUCAUGGAAUUCUAUCUCGAGUGAUCGUGAGACGGUAAUAUCAUAUAAGUCUUCAAACCUAGAGAUAUGAUUUGUUACUUACAAGUUGGUUAUGCAUUGACUGUACGAAACCGCAUUGGUAACUCGAUGUUAUAAAACGUACUUUUGUGUGUAAUUCAAUGAGUGGUAGAACAAACAUAUGAGUCGAAGUUUAUCUGUUCCUUCUUGGAUUAGAAGCUGAUAUCUGGGCCCCUCGAUGAUUUUGUUUUGACCCAUGUACCGGGCCCGGUCAGAACUAAGUUGAUGUGUUCAAUUAAGUUCUAUGUCAAACAAAUCGGAAAUCGGGAAACAAAUGCUGGACAAUAAGCAAGACAAUGUUCCAUGUAUUUGUCCGGCUGAUAUCUAGAACGGAGGAUUAUAUGAUCACUUAUCUUAAAUGGCGUACCAUCAUCUUCUCAGUUCCGAGAGACCUUGAAAGAGCUACGAUUGCCGGUCGGUUCCUGAAGUACUAGAGAUAUAGUUAUUAGACUUAUCCAAGUGGGAGACUGUUGGAUAAGGUGUCUAAGUCCAUAACUAUUUCGGGCUUGUACUUGACCCGACCCGGCAUGGUCCAUUUGGGUUGCAUGGCACCAUGCAAUUGGAUAGACUAAAUGAGAGAAAUAACACUUGGAGAUUAUUAAUAUAUUAUAAGUUCUAAUAUAUUAAUAAUAUUAUUUGAUUAGUUGAUCAAAGAAUUAAUUUGGAAUUAAUUAAGUGAUCAAAGGAUAACUAAUUAAAUAUAUGGGUUGAUUAUGUAAAUCAUCCAUAUCUUGUAUAGUGGGCUAAGAGGCUCCAUGGAUUAUCAAGUUGGGUUCUACCCAUAGGAUGCUCCAUGGAUGCUCCAUGGGAGUUACAAACCCAUGGGUCAUGGAAAUGAAGAGUCAUGACACAUUAGGGUUUACAUGGUGUAACCCUAGAUGUGCCAACACUAUAUAAGAGUCCCAUUCUCCACAAAAUUGGCUACACAAGUUGAACACUAAGAAACUAGAGGGCUUGGCCGAUUUUGAGAAGUGUGUGUUAUCUCAAGAGUCUUUCCAAGAGCAUUUGGUGUUGUGUGAAGCAUUUGAGGCAUCACACUUGGGGUGCUAGGCUCACAAGGUUUCAAGGAACACAAGCAACAACAAGGUAAGUUAUUCUAUCUAUGAUUCAAGUUAAAAUUGUUCCCCAUGUAUGCUAGAUAGGAAUAUAACCUUGGAAUUCAACUUUGCAUGAUAAUUAGACAAACAUAGAUCCAAGGUUAUUAGGGUUGCAUGUACACUUAGGAAGUGUUAGAAUGCUCAAAACCCAUCAGUGGUAUCAGAGCCUAGGCUUGUUUGUUUGUUAUUUGUGCUUAAAAGUUGAAGAAAGUCGAAAAUUCUGCUGUCUGACUGAUGGACUCGGCGAGUCCAUGGGGAGGACUCGUCGAGUUCAUGUGUAUCUUCAACCUACUCGGCGAGUAGGUUUAUGCACUCGGCGAGUAGGGUCGACAGAGUGCAGAAUUUCGACUUGAGUUGCUGGAAAUGGAUUAGAAUCAUUACCCUAAAAUGUUUUGGUACUUGAAAACUUAUUUUAGAAGGUGUAAUGUCUUUUCUAACUCAUUUACAACAACUAGUUAUCAAAAUUACAAAGAUUAAAUGUGAUUUUGAUUCUUGAAAGUGUUCAUAUUCAUAUUCUUGUUCUUAUGAUGUUUAGAUGAUCAUAGGAAUUAUUUGUAACCUAUGUGGUAGAUUAAUUCAUGAUCAUAAUGUGUUUUAAUGGAGUCCAUAACUUGUCCUCAAGUUAUGGAAAACCAAAAGUCUCUUGGAUUAAAAACCAUUAAAAGAACACAAGAGUUAGGAAAAAUGAAAAGUCCUCAUUUUAUUACUCUAUUAAACUCAUAAGUUACAAGAAAUGAAAAGUUUUGAAAGUUUACAAAACUUGCCCUCAAGUUUUGGAACAAGUAAAGUUAAGUUAAAACUUUAGUUCCAACCCCUAGAAUUUUAAAAGUUAAAAUUCAACCCUUAUACUUAUAUUAUUAUGAUUUAAUAAUUAUAUAUAUAUGUAUAAGAACAAAGUCGUCUUACCGCUAGUACGCCUCAUUCACGAAGCCGGUCUAUAAGGUGGGUAUAAGGUUGUUGCCUAUAAAAUGGUGACUUAAUGGGUGUCCACUCUCACCCACCGCUUGCUUGAUCGGUGGAGGGUCGUUAGCCGAACGGGUAAGACAAGGACUUAUUAAUUCUCAUUCAAAGUAUGAUGAAUAUUAUAAAGUAACUAAAUGUUUUAUUAAAUUCCCAAUCUUAGUUACUUUAGGAAAAAUGUGAAUAAGGUGCUAUUCCAUGAAAUUACACUUUACACUUUGAUUAAGUCGUUGGUGGAGCGUGUGUGGUUAACCGGCACACUAACUUGGACUUAACAAGGUAGGUAAAGGGUGACUUAGGGUUUAUUAUAGUAUCGAUGGAGCGUGUGUGGUUAACCGGCACAUCGAUUGAGUGAUAAACUUUAAGGGUACCAAGUGAUUUGCAUGGUUACUUCACACCUCGUUUUGUGAUCCUCGGUAUCCCAGUCACAAAACUUGGAGGGCACACUCGAGAUUGAAACAUGCCUUUGAAAAGUUCAUUGAAUCUCAAAGAAUCUAGGAAUUUCUAAGAACCAUUCAAAAACCUAAUACUAAAAUAUUGCGGUUUUCGUGGUGGAAAUUGGUGAAUCGUCAUUCACCUACCUUUCAAAUAUGAUAUAGCUUAGAUUACGGCAUACCUCUUCUAAGUUAUAUUAUAUUGUGAUUGGAUCCUAGCCUUAAUAUUACAUUUGGGUGUUUUAUUAAGGACUCUCUUAUAUCUAAACUAAUCUUGUCCUCUUCUCUUCAGAUGUCUUUCAACAAUGCUUCUGGCUCUAAUCCUAAUGGCUCCUUUACCCUUAUGAACUUGUGUGGGAAAGUCACCUUUGAUGGAUCCAACUUCAAUGAGUGGAUCAGAAACAUCAGAAUGAUUACCCGCUACGAGGACAAAGAAUAUGUCCUUGACAAGGAGCUUAAGGAGAUUGAUGAGACCACUGCAACUCCUCAGGAGAUCGCUGACUUUCGGGCACAUGA